GACAGAGGGUGCAAGCGUUGUUCGGAAUCAUUGGGCGUAAAGGGCGCGUAGGCGGUCAGGUAAGUCAACUGUGAAAGCCCAGGGCUCAACCUUGGAAGUGCAGCUGAAACUACCUGACUAGAGUCUCGGAGAGGGUGGUGGAAUUCCCAGUGUAGAGGUGAAAUUCGUAGAUAUUGGGAGGAACACCAGUGGCGAAGGCGGCUCACUGGACCGGCAUUGACGCUGAGGUGCGAAAGCGUGGGGAGCAAACAGG
rnacentral:rRNA from 1 species